GCUUGCCUGGCCAGCAUGAAUGAGGUACUGGGAUUCAUGUUCAGGUCCCUCAAAAAUUCUACUAAAAAGUGGGAGCAAGGGCUUUGAAUGGAGGAGUUAUCUUGAUGAGCUCACCCGCUAAGAUUCUCUCUGCCUUUUGUUGCUUUGAACAAGGCAUUUAUAUACAGCUUGCUAGAGAAGAAUUUUUGUAUGGCCAUAAUACAAGAGUGCUCAAGGUUAUGAAGGGAUCACGUGCGUCUUCCGGCAAUACUUGUGUUUAGUGAGAAAAGCUCCAUGUCACUAAAGCUAUGACCUCAAAUAUUAGAACGAUGACCACCCCCACCCCCCUUUGCACAAGCUGGAAGAAGGGCUCUGUUUUCAAACAACAGUGUAUGGGAGACCUGGAGCGCCGUGGCACCAGUGGACAAGUUCAUUCUCUCUCUCGAUGGUCUCGCCAAGCUCUGGUGGCCAGUUGCAAUUCUGCUCCUGUUCCAUGAGGAAGUCCACGCUCUGCCACACCAGCUCCCGAUCUGAAGGUUUGAGAUGCUCCUGGUAGGAAAGGAGCAUCUGGAGAAUGGACGACAGGCCGUGAGCUGCCCCUGUGUGGACGAACAGAACAAAGCAUCACUUAGCCAACAAGGAAAGUCAUGCUGUGAUUUAGUGAAAAGAAAACCAUGAGAUUUUUUUUUUAAUUAAAACAUUACUUGAAAGCACAUUAGUAUUAUAACAAUUGAGUUACAAAAAAACAAACAAACAAACAAACAACAAAAAACAACAACAACAAAAAAACCAAACAAACAAAAAAACCCUGAAUCACCAGCCAAAUAUAGCUUACAACCCAAACCCCCAAAUCUGGCUCAGUGACUACUUUGUGACUACUUUUGUAAAUAAAGUUUUAUUGGAAC